GUGCUCACUUGAGCAGCCUACAUACUAAAACUGGAAUGAAACAGAGAAGAUUAGCAUGGCCCCUGCUCAAGGAUGACUACAAAUUCAUGAAGUGUUCCUUAUUUUG